CCUACAUGAAGCUGGAGUUACUAGUAAGCGCAGAUCAGAAUGCUGCGGUAAAUGCGUUCCCGGGUCUUGUACACACCGCCCGUCACACCACGGGAGUUGGAGACGCCCGAAGCCGAUUAUCUAACCUGUUGGAAGAAGUCGUCGAAGGUGGAAUCAAUAACUGGGGUGAAGUCGUAACAAGGUAGCCGUAUCGGAAGGUGCGGCUGGAUCACCUCCUUUCUAAGGAGA
rnacentral:rRNA from 1 species